rnacentral:rRNA from 1 species
CUACGGGUGGCUGCAGUGGGGAAUAUUGCACAAUGGGCGCAAGCCUGAUGCAGCCAUGCCGCGUGUGUGAAGAAGGCCUUCGGGUUGUAAAGCACUUUCAGCGGGGAGGAAGGCGGUGAGGUUAAUAACCUCAUCGAUUGACGUUACCCGCAGAAGAAGCACCGGCUAACUCCGUGCCAGCAGCCGCGGUAAUACGGAGGGUGCAAGCGUUGAUCGGAAUUACUGGGCGUAAAGCGCACGCAGGCGGUCUGUCAAGUCGGAUGUGAAAUCCCCGGGCUCAACCUGGGAACUGCAUUCGAAACUGGCAGGCUAGAGUCUUGUAGAGGGGGGUAGAAUUCCAGGUGUAGCGGUGAAAUGCGUAGAGAUCUGGAGGAAUACCGGUGGCGAAGGCGGCCCCCUGGACAAAGACUGACGCUCAGGUGCGAAAGCGUGGGGAGCAAACAGGAUUAGAUACCCGUGUAGUC